rnacentral:sRNA from 1 species
GCCCGCGGGUUGAAGAAAUCGUACGCAUCGAGCGAGUGACAAGCGCCGCGUCUCACCAAACAAAGAAAAGCAAAAGCAGAGCCCUAAAAAAAAGAAAAAGAAAAAUACAAAAAAAAAAAAAAUCCAUAUAAAAAAACCAAAAAAAAACCAAAACUAAAACAACAGAUAAACGUAGAAUACCUGCUACACUGACACAAAAUCAGAGCCAGUCCAACGAAUAUUUUGUAGUAAACCCCAAUAAAAAAAACAAAACCAAAAACAAUCGCAAUCGCAACAAAAUGCUGCCACGAAUCGCAGGCAAAUGAGCCCGCUAGCCAACGGCUCCCAUCUGCGGCUGCUGCAGAGCAGCGAGUCCGAGCCCGGUCCCGCAUCCGCACUCGCAUCCGCAUACGCAUCCGCCUCCGUAUCCGCAUCCACAUCCGCAUCAGCCUCUCGCCGCGUCGCCCCGUGUGUGUGCCAGUGUUCAGCCAAAGCGGACCGCCAGCAAUUGCAGUGUAAGGCGGUGUCCGCCAAUCGCAUUCCAGCAGCAAACUAAUCUAAACGGCGCCGAGUGUCGCAUCUGAAAAUUGAGUUUCGUUUCCGGUUCCGCCGCGCGUCUCUCAAUCCGUUUGGCCAAGUCGGUCGGUUGGUCCGUUGGUCCUUUGGUCCAGAGAAGUUCCGUUCCGUUUCGGCGCGGUCUGGUCGGUUGAAUCGGUCGUCCGUUCAGACAGUUUUUCCUGCUCAAAAAUUGAUGACAGCAGCAGCCCUGUAAUCGACAACAACAUUGAAGACUGCUAACUGGAAUUGCUUCGAAACAUCACCAUCAAAAACGAAGAAACAACCACAACAAAGUGCUGCCAGCAACAAAAAAACGUAAUCAGGAAUUUAAGCAAAACCCAACAGAGAAACAUCAGGGACAGGAAGGAAGACACAGAGAGCAUGUUCAUGGAAUUGUCAUCGUUAGCGAGCAAC